CCAACAUACUAUGAUGGAAAAAUGUAAUUGGUGACACUCACAUGCGUUGUUAUAUCUGUUCAGUACAUUUUAAAUCCCACAGUCGUUACCAUAUGCCUGUGGUGGAAGUGCCUGAACCAUAAAGGUAAAACGUAAUAUUAGAAACGCAUAUAAAAACGAUUUAUUCCUUAAAAGUUAGACGAUAAAAAAGACAUGUACCUCGAUAUCCUAUCCAGUUUUCUCCGACCCAGUUGGAGAAAACCCAUAACCUACCCAUAACCUGAUAUAGCGAAGCUUAUCUUCUCAUUAAAUGUAUCCAUCUUUCAAAGUGAACUGGUUUUGUGUGGAAUGGGUAUUUGUGUAGGCAUGAAUGCGUUGGUUUAAGAUAAAUGCACAAUAGGAUAAACACACUAUAGGGGACCUAUUUAUUCUUAUUUUCAAUUUUU